rnacentral:rRNA from 1 species
CCUACGGGAGGCAGCAGUCGGGAAUAUUGCGCAAUGGAGGAAACUCUGACGCAGUGACGCCGCGUGCAGGAAGAAGGUUUUCGGAUUGUAAACUGCUUUAGACAGGGAAGAAAAAAGACAGUACCUGUAGAGUAAGCUCCGGCUAACUACGUGCCAGCAGCCGCGGUCAUAGGUAGGGAGCAAGCGGUAUCCGGAUUUAUUGGGUGUAAAGGGUGCGUAGACGGAGAAGCAAGUUGGUUGUGAAAUCCCUGGGCUUAACUGAGGAACUGCAACUAAAACUACUUCCCUUGAGUACUGGAGAGGAAAGUGGAAUUCGUGGUGUAGCGGUGAAAUGCGUAGAUAUCACGAGGAACACCAGUGGCGAAGGCGGCUUUCUGGACAGUAACUGACGUUGAGGCACGAAAGUGUGGGGAGCGAACAGGAUUAGAUACCCGAGUAGUC